rnacentral:rRNA from 1 species
GACGAACGCUGGCGGCGUGCUUAACACAUGCAAGUCGAGCGGUAAGGCCCUUUCGGGGGUACACGAGCGGCGAACGGGUGAGUAACACGUGGGUGACCUGCCCUCAGCUCUGGGACAAGCCUGGGAAACCGGGUCUAAUACCGGAUAUGACUCCAUGACGCAUGUUGUGGGGUGGAAAGCCUUGUGCGGCUGAGGAUGGGCCCGCGGCCUAUCAGCUUGUUGGUGGGGNGAUGGCCUACCAAGGCGACGACGGGUAGCCGGCCUGAGAGGGCGACCGGCCACACUGGGACUGAGACACGGCCCAGACUCCUACGGGAGGCAGCAGUGGGGAAUCUUGCGCAAUGGGCGAAAGCCUGACGCAGCGACGCCGCGUGAGGGAUGACGGCCUGGUGU